rnacentral:lncRNA from 1 species
UAUAUAUAUAGAGAGAGAGAGAGAGAGAGAGAGAGAGAGAGAGAGAGAGAGAGAGAGAGUUUGACUGGAUUACUAUCGGUAGUAAACUGCUCGGUUUAUUACCGAUUUAUUUUUGAUAAUAGAACUUCCAAAUCGACGAUCGGUACCGUUGAACAUGAUCUAGACCAUUUAAAUUAUCUAGAAAUUAAAUUUCAUAAUUUUUUCGCAUCACUAACUGAACGAUCAAAGGGUCACAAAAUCUAUAAUUUUAAUGGCUGAUUUGGUGCGUUUGCUCAUUUAACGGUAUAGAAGAGUUCAAAUCAACUAAAUUUUGUUAAAAAAUUCUUUAAACUAUUUAAAAUAAGAUCUAUACUCUAUAUCUCAAAUAUAAAAAUUGUAUCAUCCCUUUUGAAGGAUAUUCGUUUCCGGCCAUUCAUUUUUCUGUUCACUUGAUGGACAAGAGAACAAUAUAAAAAAUGUGUGAAAUUUGAUUUUCCGAUAGUUUAAAUAGUUUAGAUCAUGUUUAACGGUGCCUAUCAUCAAUUUGGAAGCUCUAUCAUCGAAAAUAAAUCGGUAGUAACCAAGCUGUUUACUACCGAUAGUAUUCUAGCAAAACACUCUCUCUCUCUCUCUCUCUCUCUCUCUCUCUCUCUCUCUCUCUCUCUAUAUAUAUAUAUAUAUAUAUAUAUAGUAGAGCUAUUAUGCUACCGGAAGUAUAAAGUGGUUGGUGCUUUCGAUUUUUUAGCCCUUAGAUCAAUCACAUUGAUCAUUUCUAAUCAUUGGAUUAAUAUUAUUAACCAACAGGGACCACUCAACCCUAAGGAGACCACUCAAUCCUAAGGGGACUGCUAUCAUUCCAACCGUAGAAUCUUUAAUUCAAGAGCUAAAAAAUCGGAAGUAUCAACUAUUUUAUGCUUCUGAUAACAUAGUAGAAAAAUGAAAAAAAUACAGAAAAGUAUUUUUCUUUUUUGUUCUAUAACUAGUUCUUUAUUGUAAACAGGAUCAUAUGAUAUUGAUUAACUACCAUGCAUUUUUCACUAAAUUAGCUUUUGAGUAUGUAUAUACAUAUGUAUAUAUACUCAUGGAAUCGCUAUCACUGUAAAUCGUCUAAUCCAAUAUAAGAACUUUACCUAUGUUUGGUAGGAAAAUGAGUUUAUAUUCUGUUAUAUAUUUUCUCCCUUUUUUAAUCCAAACACUCGCUAAAGGGAGGAAAUAGCUAUAAGCCGUAUUUAGUAAGAACAAUACAUAUAGUCACUACAACAGAAUUACAUACAGUCAAUACAUACAUACAGUCACUACAACAAAAUUAGAAAAUGAGUUUUUAAUCCAAACACUCGCUAAAGGGAGGAAAUAGCUAUAAGCCGUAUUUAGUAAGAACAAUAUAUACAGUCACUACAACAGAAUUAGAUUAUAGGAACAUAUUUUUAAGAUAUUUUUAUGUAAGUGUUCCAUUUAUGCUAAAUUUUUUUAAAACUAUCUACUAAAACUUAAAUAUAAAACCUAAUACAACCAAAAAUAAAAAAGUUGUUCUACUCAACCAACCCCACCCAACCCAUCGGACCGAUUACAAAUAGAAAAGAAAAAAAUAAAAAAAUUGAUCACCAUCUUUUCUUCUCCUCCUCCACUGUUGCAGCCGAUGAGGUACAUCUCCCUUUUCCUCCUCCAUCGUUGCCAUCGACGAGGAAGAGUUCCUGCGGUUGGAAUUCAGCGGCGAGAAUCUCGCAGAGACCGUAGAAGGUUACGAUCGCCACGUGUCCCUCCGCCACAGGUCGCUGGAGGAAUGGAUGUCAAAUAUCGAGGCGGCUCCACAUAUAGGAACCUCACAUAUAGCAACACUUUUAAAAAAUAUCGAUAAUUUAGCCGGCAGUAUUUUUUUUUUAUCUAUACCGAUAUUUAAAAAUAUUACUAUGCAUCAUUUUUAUUACGGUGAGUAAAAAUACGGUACAGU